rnacentral:rRNA from 1 species
AUUGAACGCUGGCGGCAGGCCUAACACAUGCAAGUCGAGCGGAUGAAGGGAGCUUGCUCCUGGAUUCAGCGGCGGACGGGUGAGUAAUGCCUAGGAAUCUGCCUGGUAGUGGGGGAUAACGUCCGGAAACGGGCGCUAAUACCGCAUACGUCCUGAGGGAGAAAGUGGGGGAUCUUCGGACCUCACGCUAUCAGAUGAGCCUAGGUCGGAUUAGCUAGUUGGUGGGGUAAUGGCCUACCAAGGCGACGACCCGUAACUGGUCUGAGAGGAUGAUCAGUCACACUGGAACUGAGACACGGUCCAGACUCCUACGGGAGGCAGCAGUGGGGAAUAUUGGACAAUGGGCGAAAGCCUGAUCCAGCCAUGCCGCGUGUGUGAAGAAGGUCUUCGGAUUGUAAAGCACUUUAAGUUGGGAGGAAGGGCAGUAAGUUAAUACCUUGCUGUUUUGACGUUACCAACAGAAUAAGCACCGGCUAACUUCGUG